AAAUUUAGGUUCACAAAACCGAGGGCCUUCAAAGCCCUAAACAGGGCCCACCCCCUAAUUUCUG
rnacentral:tRNA from 1 species